rnacentral:lncRNA from 1 species
GGAUGGUGAAUCGGGUCCAGUUGGCACGGUUGGUUCACUGCCAAAGGUGCAGGUUCAUCCUUGUGUCUCUUCCGUGCCGAUGUGGGAGUGUUGAUGUGGUGAACCAGCGCUGGAAGUCUACAAGGGAGGCGGUUUGCUGGGGCUGAUCUGACCUUGGAGCAGUGAGGCCUGGUAGAGGAACUGGGAUUUGCUCGGCAGCGAGGUCCUCUCUUGGCUGUUGGGACAUCUUCAAGGUGUGAGGUUGUCACCUGGGCACUAGUGAUCUUGCACAACAGGUCGGUGUCGGGGAGCUUCCCGUCUCGACCCCUUCGAUGUUUAAGCAAGUGUAAGGUGGAGGAGGCGAAAGAUAACAGUAUGGGCUAUGUAAAGAUGAGAGAGUAAAGGGUUGAGAGAUUAUUGCCCCCCCAAUCUUGGCCUGGGGUGUGGCUCUUAUGCCUCGGUACUGUGCCCUCUCCGAUUGUGAUCUUAUCUGGUCUACUCUCUGAUUGGGCAUGAAUAUCGUUGGUUGGUGAGUCGGCUCCAGUCGGCACGGUUGGUUCACUAUCAAGGUACAGGUUUAUCCUUGUAUCUCCUCCGUGCCGAUGUAGGAGUGUUGAUGUGGUGAACCAGCGAUGGAAGUCUACAAGGGAAGCGAUUUGCUGGGGCUGAUCUGACCUUGGAGCGGUAGGCGUGGUAGAGGAACUGAGAUCUGCUCGGCAACGAGGUCCUCUUUUGGCUGUUGGGUCAUCUUCCCGGCUCGAACCCUUCGAUGCUUAAGUCAGUGUAAGGCGGAGGAGGCGAAAGACAGCAGUAUGAGCUGUGUAAAGAUGACAGAGUAAAGGGUUGAGAGAUUGUUGCCUCCUUAAUCUUGGCCUGGGGUGUGGCUCUUAUGCUUGGGUGUCAUGCCCUCUCCGAUUGUGAUCUUAUCUGGUCUACUCUCUGAUUGAGCAUGAAUACCGUUGGAUGGUGAGUCGGAUCCAGUUGGCACGGUUGGUUCACUGCCAAAGGUGCAAGUUCAUCCUUGUGUCUCCUCGUGCCGAUGUGGGAGUGUUGAUGUGGUGAACCAGCGCUGGAAGUCUACAAGGGAGGCGGUUUGCUAGGGCUGAUCUGACGUUGGAGUAGUGAGGCCUGGUAGAGGAACUGGGAUUUGCUCGGCAGUGAGGUCCUCUCUUGGUCGUUGGGUCAUCUUUAAGAUGCGAGGUUGUCUCCUGGGCACUAGUGAUCCUGCACAACAGGUCGGUGUCGGGGGACUUCCCGGCUUGACCCCUUCGAUGUUUAAGCCAGUGUAAGGUGGAGGAGGCGAAAGAUAGCAGUAUGAGCUGUGUAAAGAUGAGAGAGUAAAGGGUUGAGAGAUUGUUGCCCCCCCAAUCUUGGCCUGGGGUGUGGCUCUUAUGCCUGGGUGCUGUGCCCUCUCCGAUUGUGAUCUUAUCUGGUCUACUCUCUGAUUGGGCAUGAAUACCGUUGGUUGGUGAGUCGGCUCCAGUCGGCACGGUUGGUUCACUGCCAAAGGUGUAGGUUCAUCCUUGUAUCUCCUCCGUGCCGAUGUGGGAGUGUUGAUGUGGUGAACCAGCGCUGGAAGUCUACAAGGGAAGCGGUUUGCUGGGGCUGAUCUAACCUUGGAGCGGUGAGGCCUGGUAGAGGAACUGAGAUCUACUCGGCAGCGAGGUCCUCUCUUGGCUGUUGGGUCAUCUUCAAGCUGUGAGGUUGUCUCCUGGGCACUAGUGAUCUUGCACAAUAGGUCGGUGUCGGGGGGCUUCCCGGCUCGACCCCUUUGAUUCUUAAGUCAGUGUAAGGCGGAGGAGGCGAAAGACAGCAGUAUGAGCUGUGUAAAGAUGAGAGAGUCAAGGGUUAAGAGAUUGUUGCCCCCCCAAUCUUGGCUUGGGGUGUGGCUUUUAUGCUUGGGUGUUGUGCCCUCUCCACCUGUGUUAGCUGAGGUGGUAGAGGUAUUAAUGAGGGCGUGCCUUGUGCGGCGGAGGAGUUAAUGUGGGUGGCUUGCUGCCAGUCAUCAACGCAGAGUACUGUCGACCAUAGAUGCAUGGCUAGGUGGAGGGAGCUGGAGGGUGCCAAAUCUAGAG